rnacentral:rRNA from 1 species
GACGAACCGUCCAAACGUUAUUCGGAAUCACUGGGCUUACAGAGUUCGUAGGCGGUCUGGAAAGUUGGGUGUGAAAUCCCUCGACUCAACCGAGGAACUGCGCUCAAAACUACCCGACUCGAGGGAGAUAGAGGAAAGCGGAACUGAUGGUGGAGCGGUGAAAUGCGUUGAUAUCAUCAGGAACACCGGUGGCGAAGGCGGCUUUCUGGGUCUUACCUGACGCUGAGGAACGAAAGCUAGGGGAGCGAACGGG